GCAGAGCCCCGGUCACAUGACCUCAUGCAGGCGGGAGCCCCCAGCUGGUAGCGCCUCUGCCCCCCGCCUCCCCCGGGACUGGCGGCAUCCUGCCCUGCAGCGCCCCCUGCAGGCCUGCGCGCGGCAGCGGCUGCCAGCCGGCCGGGACAGGGGGCUCGGGGGCAGCGGGCCGGUUGGAGUGAAAUCGGGACAGAGCGGGGCGAGGCCGGGAGCUGCCCAGAAGCCGAGCUGCCCCUCCUCGAACAGCGCCCGGCCGGGGAGCUCCCGUGCAGGGAGGCGACCGCUGGCUUCCCUAACAACGACCAGUCGAGAGGAGGCGGCUGGCUCCGUCUCCCCCUCUCGUGCUACAGGAACAGAGGCACACGUGCCACGAACCGGGGAGGACAGCAAAUGUAGACGUGCUGGAAGCAAAUAUAUUGACAUAGCUCAGAAUCUUUCAAACUCAGCAAUGCACUGAGUACUGCUCUGCGACAAUACUAUGAAACCUCUACAGCACUUAAUAUAUGCAACCAGGACAAUGUAACAGGCAGAGUUGAAUGUUUGCAGCUGUGUGUGCAUUCACCCAUAUGAGAUGUGUUGGAGGUUAUCCCGUCUCCAGAAUUUGGCAUUAUUUUUUUCCAUGGAGAGCAGAGAG